AAUCCGAGAAUUUCACCUCCAACAACGAAAUACGGAUGCCCCCAAUUGUCCCUCUUAAUCAUUACUUCGGUCCUAGAAACCAACAAAAUGGGACCAAAGUCCUAUUCCAUUAUUCCAUGCUCAUGUAUUCAAGCAAUAGCCUGCUUUGAACACUCUAAUUUUUUCAAAGUAAACGUCGUAAAUCCUACGCACACUCAACAAAGAGCACACGCAGUCUUUGCGAAGAAGAGCAAACCAGUCAGUAACACACCUUGCGGCGGACCAACUGGCCCACUCCGAAAUCCAACUACGAGCUUUUUAACUGCAACAACUUUAAUAUACGCUAUUGGAGCUGGAAUUACCGC
rnacentral:misc_RNA from 1 species